rfam:Candidatus Bathyarchaeota archaeon RBG_16_57_9 RBG_16_scaffold_13774, whole genome shotgun sequence.
GGGCCGGUAGAUCAGCGGCAGAUCGCCCGCUUGGCAUGCGGGAGGUCGCGAGUUCAAAUCUCGCCCGGUCCA